GUGACUGCGUACCUUUUGUAUAAUGGGUCAGCGACUUAUAUUCUGUAGCAAGGUUAACCGUAUAGGGGAGCCGGAGGGAAACCGAGUCUUAAUUGGGCGUUAAGUUGCAGGGUAUAGACCCGAAACCCGGUGAUCUAGCCAUGGGCAGGUUGAAGGUUGGGUAACACUAACUGGAGGACCGAACCGACUAAUGUUGAAAAAUUAGCGGAUGACCUGUGGCUGGGGGUGAAAGGCCAAUCAAACCGGGAGAUAGCUGGUUCUCCCCGAAAGCUAUUUAGGUAGCGCCUCGUGAAUUCAUCUCCGGGGGUAGAGCACUGUUUCGGCUAGGGGGCCAUCCCGGCUUACCAACCCGAUGCAAACUGCGAAUACCGGAGAAUGUUAUCACGGGAGACACACGGCGGGUGCUAACGUCCGUCGUGAAGAGGGAAACAACCCAGACCGCCAGCUAAGGUCCCAAAGUCAUGGUUAAGUGGGAAACGAUGUGGGAAGGCCCAGACAGCCAGGAUGUUGGCUUAGAAGCAGCCAUCAUUUAAAGAAAGCGUAAUAGCUCACUGGUCGAGUCGGCCUGCGCGGAAGAUGUAACGGGGCUAAACCAUGCACCGAAGCUGCGGCAGCGACACUGAUGUGUUGUUGGGUAGGGGAGCGUUCUGUAAGCCUGUGAAGGUGGCCUGUGAGGGUUGCUGGAGGUAUCAGAAGUGCGAAUGCUGACAUAAGUAACGAUAAAGCGGGUGAAAAGCCCGCUCGCCGGAAGACCAAGGGUUCCUGUCCAACGUUAAUCGGGGCAGGGUGAGUCGACCCCUAAGGCGAGGCCGAAAGGCGUAGUCGAUGGGAAACGGGUUAAUAUUCCCGUACUUGGUGUUACUGCGAAGGGGGGACGGAGAAGGCUAUGUUGGCCGGGCGACGGUUGUCCCGGUUUAAGCGUGUAGGUGUGUGUUCCAGGUAAAUCCGGUUCACUUUAACACUGAGGCGUGAUGACGAGGCACUACGGUGCUGAAGCAACAAAUGCCCUGCUUCCAGGAAAAGCCUCUAAGCAUCAGGUAACAUCAAAUCGUACCCCAAACCGACACAGGUGGUCAGGUAGAGAAUACCAAGGCGCUUGAGAGAACUCGGGUGAAGGAACUAGGCAAAAUGGUGCCGUAACUUCGGGAGAAGGCACGCUGACACGUAGGUGAAGUGAUUUACUCACGGAGCUGAAGUCAGUCGAAGAUACCAGCUGGCUGCAACUGUUUAUUAAAAACACAGCACUGUGCAAACACGAAAGUGGACGUAUACGGUGUGACGCCUGCCCGGUGCCGGAAGGUUAAUUGAUGGGGUCAGCGCAAGCGAAGCUCCUGAUCGAAGCCCCGGUAAACGGCGGCCGUAACUAUAACGGUCCUAAGGUAGCGAAAUUCCUUGUCGGGUAAGUUCCGACCUGCACGAAUGGCGUAAUGAUGGCCAGGCUGUCUCCACCCGAGACUCAGUGAAAUUGAACUCGCUGUGAAGAUGCAGUGUACCCGCGGCAAGACGGAAAGACCCCGUGAACCUUUACUAUAGCUUGACACUGAACAUUGAGCCUUGAUGUGUAGGAUAGGUGGGAGGCUUUGAAGUGUGGACGCCAGUCUGCAUGGAGCCGACCUUGAAAUACCACCCUUUAAUGUUUGAUGUUCUAACGUGGACCCGUAAUCCGGGUUGCGGACAGUGUCUGGUGGGUAGUUUGACUGGGGCGGUCUCCUCCUAAAGAGUAACGGAGGAGCACGAAGGUUGGCUAAUCCUGGUCGGACAUCAGGAGGUUAGUGCAAUGGCAUAAGCCAGCUUGACUGCGAGCGUGACGGCGCGAGCAGGUGCGAAAGCAGGUCAUAGUGAUCCGGUGGUUCUGAAUGGAAGGGCCAUCGCUCAACGGAUAAAAGGUACUCCGGGGAUAACAGGCUGAUACCGCCCAAGAGUUCAUAUCGACGGCGGUGUUUGGCACCUCGAUGUCGGCUCAUCACAUCCUGGGGCUGAAGUAGGUCCCAAGGGUAUGGCUGUUCGCCAUUUAAAGUGGUACGCGAGCUGGGUUUAGAACGUCGUGAGACAGUUCGGUCCCUAUCUGCCGUGGGCGCUGGAGAACUGAGGGGGGCUGCUCCUAGUACGAGAGGACCGGAGUGGACGCAUCACUGGUGUUCGGGUUGUCAUGCCAAUGGCACUGCCCGGUAGCUAAAUGCGGAAGAGAUAAGUGCUGAAAGCAUCUAAGCACGAAACUUGCCCCGAGAUGAGUUCUCCCUGAGACUU
rnacentral:rRNA from 1 species